rnacentral:rRNA from 1 species
AGCAGCCGCGGUAAUUCCAGCUCCAAUAGCGUAUAUUAAAGUUGUUGCAGUUAAAAAGCUCGUAGUUGAAUUUCGGGAUCAAUACGUCGGUCGUGCUUUCGGGUACGUACUGGCGUCAUUGGUUUCUCCUUUCUGACGAACCAUGAUGUCAUUAAUUUGGUGUUAUGGGGAGUUAGGACUGUUACUUUGAAAAAAUUAGAGUGUUUAAAGCAGGCAUUAGCUUGAAUACAUUAGCAUGGAAUAAUGAAAUAGGACGUUCGAUCCUAUUUUGUUGGUUUCUAGGAUCAACGUAAUGAUUAAUAGGGAUAGUUGGGGGCAUUAGUAUUCAAUUGUCAGAGGUGAAAUUCUUGGAUUUAUUGAAGACUAACUACUGCGAAAGCAUUUGCCAAGGAUGUUUUCAUUAAUCAAGAACGAAAGUUAGGGGAUCGAAGACGAUCAGAUACCGUCGUAGUCUUAACCAUAAACUAUGCCGACUAGGGAUCGGAUGAUGUUAAUUUUUAAUGACCNUAGUCGCGUCCGU